rnacentral:rRNA from 1 species
CCUACGGGGGACAGCAGUGAGGAAUAUUGGUCAAUGGCCGGAAGGCUGAACCAGUCAUGCCGCGUGAAGGUCAGUGCCCUAUGGGCGUUAAACUUCUUUUGUGCGGGAGCAAUAAUGGUCACGUGUGGCCAGACGAGAGUACCGUACGAAUAAGCAUCGGCUAACUCCGUGCCAGCAGCCGCGGUAAUACGGGGGAUGCAAGCGUUAUCCGGAUUUAUUGGGUUUAAAGGGUGCGUAGGCUGGGAGGUAAGUCAGCGGUGAAAUGCCCCCGCUCAACGGGGUGAAGUGCCAUUGAUACUGCCUGGCUGGAAUGCGGAUGCCGUGGGAGGAAUGUGUGGUGUAGCGGUGAAAUGCAUAGAGAUCACACAGAACACCGAUUGCGAAGGCAUCUCACGAAUCCGCGAUUGACGCUGAUGCACGAAAGCGUGGGUAUCAAACAGGAUUAGAUACCCGAGUAGUC